GCAAGUCGAGCGGUAAAAUCUUUUUAGCUUGCUAAAAAGAUUUGAGAGCGGCGAACGGGUGAGUAACACGUUGGAAUCUGCCCCCAAGUCAGGGAUAGCCAUUGGAAACGAUGAUUAAUACCGGAUGUGCUCUUCGGAGUAAAGAUUUAUCGCUUGGGGAGUGGCCUGCGGACUAUCAGCUUGUUGGUGAGGUAAUAGCUCACCAAGGCUAUGACGGUUAACUGGUCUGAGAGGAUGAUC
rnacentral:rRNA from 1 species